GCGCAGCAGUCGCGAAACCUCCGCAAUACACGAAAGUGUGACGGGGCCAUCCCGAGUGCCGUCCGCUGAGGACGGCUUUCCCAGUGUACAUAGCUGGGGAAUAAGGAGAGGGCAAGCCUGGUGUCAGCCGCCGCGGUAAUACCAGCUCUCCGAGUGGUGGGGACGCUUAUUGGGCCUAAAGCAUCCGUAGCCGGCUGGGCAAGUCCUCCGUUAAAUCCAACGAUUCAAUCGUUGGGCUGCGGGGGAUACUGUCCAGCUUGGGGGCGGGAGAGGCCGACGGUAUUCCCGGGGUAGGGUGAAAUCCUAUAAUCCCGGGAGGACCACCAGUGGCGAAGGCUGUCGGCUAGAACGCGCCCGACGGUGAGGGAUGAAAAGCUGGGGGAGCGAACCGGAUUAGAUACCCGUGUAGUCCCUAAGACU
rnacentral:rRNA from 1 species